CUGGUGCUUGCACUAGAAGAACUUAGCGGCGAACGGGUGAGUAACACGUAAAGAACCUGCCUCAUAGACUGGGACAACUAUUGGAAACGAUAGCUAAUACCGGAUAACAGUAUUUCUCGCAUGAGAGAUAUUUAAAAGUUGGUUAUGCUAACACUAUGAGAUGGCUUUGCGGUGCAUUAGCUAGUUGGUGGGGUAAAGGCCCACCAAGGCGACGAUGCAUAGCCGACCUGAGAGGGUGAUCGGCCACACUGGGACUGAGACACGGCCCAGACUCCUACGGGAGGCAGCAGUAGGGAAUCUUCCGCAAUGGGCGAAAGCCUGACGGAGCAACGCCGCGUGAGUGAAGAAGGAUUUCGGUUCGUAAAGCUCUGUUGUUAGGGAAGAAUGGAUAUGUAGUAACUAUACAUGUAAGAGACGGUACCUAACCAGAAAGCCACGGCUAACUACGUGCCAGCAGCCGCGGUAAUACGUAGGUGGCAAGCGUUGUCCGGAAUUAUUGGGCGUAAAGCGCGCGCAGGUGGUUUAAUAAGUCUGAUGUGAAAGCCCACGGCUCAACCGUGGAGGGUCAUUGGAAACUGUUAAACUUGAGUGCAGGAGAGAAAAGUGGAAUUCCUAGUGUAGCGGUGAAAUGCGUAGAGAUUAGGAGGAACACCAGUGGCGAAGGC
rnacentral:rRNA from 1 species